CCUAUAGGAAUCACUAAAUUACCAUGUUUUAUGGCUUUCUUAUCUGUAACCCUUAUCUUCAGACCUUCCCUGACAUACUUGGAACAGGAUGUCUGUUGGUUCUUUGGUAUGUGUGGCAUUUGGUAUCAACUAAACAAAGGAAGAGGCCCUAAACCUUCACAUCGCUGUUUUCAGCCUCUAAGGCGAAAAGGGCUAACAUUUCUAUUCCAUCUAUUGUUUCAGCACUUUUUGCCAGGCACUCAUAUUCAUAAGAUUUUUCUAUUUCCUUCCCAACAGGUUCCAGGGCCAGCAGGAGCUCUCAGGGCAUGUGGUGGCCACUGACCGGGUCCCCAGUGGGGACUGGACCCACCAGCUCCUGCUGCUGCUGGAAACCCCAACCGCCCAGCAUGGGGUCACCUUCAGCUGCCAGAGCUCUUGAGCCAGCAGCAGCGGCUGCAGCCCCUGCCCAUGACCUCAGGCCUGGCCAGGAUUUCCUGCUCUGUCCCCACGCUGAUUUUGAGGGAAUGGGUGAUAAAGGCAAAAUAGUCCGAUACCAGCUAUGGACUCAAGGACAGUUUCUUCAGACUCCAGGCCCUAAGCAUAAACAAUGUGAGGAGAAGACAGGCCAGCCAGGAGAAGAGGAGGAGGAGACCUUACAAUUUGAGACUAUUAAUUGGAUAGUGGACUGCUGUAUGUAAAUGGACUGAAGUCUAUAAAAAUGUGAAAUCAUGUGACCAAGGCCUCUUUUACUUCCAUCUUGGAGCCACACAGGCAGGGCAGGGGCCAUGCUGUGGCACUAUACUGCCAGAGUGUGGCCUUUGAAGGCCUUUCAAUAAAUACCCAUUUUAUUUCCCCUCACUCUGUGUGAUCUCUGUCCCAGCUCCUAAAGGCAACAGGGAGGCUGCAGAUAUAGGGAGGGGUGGAACCUUGUGUUGCUUCCCAUUCUGCUCCUCCUCCUGUGUCCCUACUCUUCCUUACACUUCUCUUCCUCCUACUAUUCUACCUCUUCCUCUUGCACAAUCCCACCUGCUCCUCCCAUGUGCAGCAUUUGACCAUUUUGCUCCUCAGCCCUGCUUCUCCUUCCCUUCUCCUGCUGCCCCCAGGCCCAGCACCCACUGCCGGCUCCCUCUUCCCCCCAAACCCACAGCAUCCCAGCGCAGGGGCAGGGAUGGAGCUGGGGCAGCUCGGGCUGGGGCAGCGCUGGGCUCUCGGCCGCUCCCGCCCGCACUCGGUCCCCA